UCAGUCUUGGCUGUGUGUGUAGUUGGCACCGGCACCUUGGCGUUGUGGUAGCGGAAGGCUGAGCUUUCUCCUCCCGGCCCAUGUGACCACAGGACGGGCUACUGGUACUCAGCAGACUCGCUCUCAGAUCUCACUCCGACGUGCCUUUCGAUGCGCUGCUGUCUUUAAACCCUCUUUAUUCCGAUGAAAAAACGUGCCCGCUCCAGAUCCCGGUCUCGCUCCAGGUCCCGAUCCCCCUCCUCCAAGCCCCGCGAGCGGAAGUACGCCAAGGACCACCAGGCCAGGGGCCCGGGGCCCCGGGAGGCCCGGGGGUACCAACACCGUGGCUUCCAGAGGCCCUUCAACUUCAGGGGCCGAGGACGGGGCUUCUUCCCCCGCGGGCGAUUCCAGCGGGGGGGUGGAGGAGGAGGAGGCGGCGGCGGCUGGGGCUACAACCACCACAACUUCCGCAACAACUGGAGGAACUUCAGACAAUGUCCGCCGCAGAGACAGCAGUACCCCCACCCCCAGUGGCAUCAGCAGCAGCAGCAUCAGCAUCAGCAGCAGCAGCAGCAGCAGCAGCAGCCGCCGCAACAGCAGCAGCAGUACCCCAGGGGGCGCUCUGCCAGCCCCCGGAAACGCCCGGGCGUGACCCCCCCGAGGGCCGUCCCCCGCUCAGACCACUCCUCCUCCUCCCCCAAGUCCAGACGCUCAGCUCGCUCCUCCUCCUCUCACUCCCCUUGCUCCCCAAAACAGAACGCCACCUCUGAGUCGGCCAAUCAGAUCCUCUCAAGCAAUGGCAAGGAGGAGCUGCUGGCCUCCAAGGAGGCCGGAGAAGAGGAGGAGGAGGAGGAGGAGGAGGAGGAAGAGGAGGAGGUGGGAGGAGGAGUUAAUAAAGAUGGCGCUAUUGCAGGGAAGUGGCGGAGUUUGAGUGUCUGUAGCUCUGUAGUGAAGAAGUGUAAUCCACCAGAAAGUUCUGCUGAUGACGGUCAGAUGACGCUGACGUCUGCUGACCAGUCCAGCCCUGCCCACAAAAUCACAGCCAGUGGGGUGAACAGCGGCGCCCCCUCCUGGCAGGGAGUAGAAAACAAAAGCCCACCUCAAAAAAACACCAAAGCCGUUAUUUCUGGUUUUGGAAUCUUCUCUAAAAAGAACAACCUGGAUGGAGGUAGUUCCAACAUCCCUGCUGCCUUUAGAAAGUUCCUGGAGGACCAGAGUAACGGGUCCGGGCCGGGCCGGGAGAAAGGGUCUGAGGCGAGCGGUCAGGUCCCUCUGGAGGGCGGGGCUAACGGGAAGACGGGCGGCUGCGUCUCGAACCCAUCGCCGCGCCGGGCGAGCGCCGAAAUGACACUGAGGAGCUUCUUAAAAGCGUCUCCCUUUCAGUCGGGCACGGACGCUCGUGAGGACGAUGAGGAGGUGGAGGCGGAGGAGGAGGAGGA
ensembl:lncRNA